rnacentral:rRNA from 1 species
AUUGCUGGCGACCGGCGCACGGGUGAGUAACACGUAUCCAACCUGCCGAUAACUCGGGGAUAGCCUUUCGAAAGAAAGAUUAAUACCCGAUGGCAUAAUUAGACCGCAUGGUCUUAUUAUUAAAGAAUUUCGGUUAUCGAUGGGGAUGCGUUCCAUUAGGCAGUUGGUGAGGUAACGGCUCACCAAACCUUCGAUGGGUAGGGGUUCUGAGAGGAAGGUCCCCCACAUUGGAACUGAGACACGGUCCAA